AAUGUCUUUAACAGACACCCAGAGUCACG
rnacentral:snRNA from 2 species